AGAGUUUGAUCCUGGCUCAGAUUGAACGCUGGCGGCAGGCCUAACACAUGCAAGUCGAGCGGUAACAGAAGGUAGCUUGCUACUUUGCUGACGAGCGGCGGACGGGUGAGUAAUGCUUGGGAACAUGCCUUGAGGUGGGGGACAACAGUUGGAAACGACUGCUAAUACCGCAUAAUGUCUACGGACCAAAGGGGGCUUCGGCUCUCGCCUUUAGAUUGGCCCAAGUGGGAUUAGCUAGUUGGUGAGGUAAUGGCUCACCAAGGCGACGAUCCCUAGCUGGUUUGAGAGGAUGAUCAGCCACACUGGGACUGAGACACGGCCCAGACUCCUACGGGAGGCAGCAGUGGGGAAUAUUGCACAAUGGGCGCAAGCCUGAUGCAGCCAUGCCGCGUGUGUGAAGAAGGCCUUCGGGUUGUAAAGCACUUUCAGUCAGGAGGAAAGGUUAGUAGUUAAUACCUGCUAGCUGUGACGUUACUGACAGAAGAAGCACCGGCUAACUCCGUGCCAGCAGCCGCGGUAAUACGGAGGGUGCGAGCGUUAAUCGGAAUUACUGGGCGUAAAGCGUACGCAGGCGGUUUGUUAAGCGAGAUGUGAAAGCCCCGGGCUCAACCUGGGAACUGCAUUUCGAACUGGCAAACUAGAGUGUGAUAGA
rnacentral:rRNA from 1 species